rnacentral:rRNA from 1 species
AAGGUCCUCUGGAUUGUAAACUUCUUUUAUUUGGGAAGAAACCCACGAUUUCUAUUGUGGUUGACGGUACCAGAUGAAUAAGCACCGGCUAACUCCGUGC